rnacentral:rRNA from 1 species
AGUGAACGCUGGCGGUAAGCCUAACACAUGCAAGUCGAACGGCAGCACAGUAAGAGCUUGCUCUUACGGGUGGCGAGUGGCGGACGGGUGAGGAAUACAUCGGAAUCUACUUUUUCGUGGGGGAUAACGUAGGGAAACUUACGCUAAUACCGCAUACGACCUACGGGUGAAAGCAGGGGAUCUUCGGACCUUGCGCGAUUGAAUGAGCCGAUGUCGGAUUAGCUAGUUGGCGGGGUAAAGGCCCACCAAGGCGACGAUCCGUAGCUGGUCUGAGAGGAUGAUCAGCCACACUGGAACUGAGACACGGUCCAGACUCCUACGGGAGGCAGCAGUGGGGAAUAUUGGACAAUGGGCGCAAGCCUGAUCCAGCCAUACCGCGUGGGUGAAGAAGGCCUUCGGGUUGUAAAGCCCUUUUGUUGGGAAAGAAAAGCAGCAGGUUAAUACCCCGCUGUUCUGACGGUACCCAAAGAAUAAGCACCGGCUAACUACGUG